rnacentral:misc_RNA from 1 species
GAAAUGCGAUAAGUAAUGUGAAUUGCAGAAUUCAGUGAAUCAUCGAAUCUUUGAACGCACCUUGCGCUCCUUGGUAUUCCUUGGAGCAUGCCUGUUUGAGUAUCAUGAAAUCUUCAAAGUAAAUCUUUUGUUAACUCAAUUGGUUUCUACUUUGGUAUUGGAGGUCUUUGCAGCUUCACACCUGCUCCUCUUUGUUCAUUAGCUGGAUCUCAGUGUUUUGCUUGGUUCCACUCGGCGUGAUAAGUUAUCUAUCGCUGAGGACACUGUAAAAGGUGGCCAAGGUAAAUGCAGAUGAACCGCUUCUAAUAGUCCAUUGACUUGGACAAUACUUUUAUGAUCUGAUCUCAAAUCAGGUAGGACUACCCGCUGAACUUAAGC